AUUUAUGCCCCGGCGAGUAGGCAGGCGUGGAGGCUCGUGACGAAGCCUUGGGGGUAACCCCGGGUCGAACGGCCUCUAGUGCAGAUCUUGGUGGUAGUAGCAAAUACUCAAAUGAGAACUUUGAGGACUGAAGUGGGGAAAGGUUCCGUGUGAACAGCAGUUGGACACGGGUUAGUCGAUCCUAAGAGAUAGGGAAAUUCCGUAUGAAAGUGUGCAUUAUUAUUGCGCCGCCUAUCGAAAGGGAAACAGGUUAAUAUUCCUGUACCUGGGCGUGGAUAAGGGUGGCAACACAAGUGAACUUGCCGACGGCAGCGGGGAGUCCGGGAAGAGUUAUCUUUUCUUUUUAACAGCCUGUAGCCCUGGAAUCGGAUUACCCGGAGAUAGGGUGAUGUGGCUGGUAAAGCACCUCACGUCUUGAGGUGUCCGGUGCCUCUCCGACGCCCCUUGAAAAGGCAAGGGAAGGAUUAUUUGCACCCCAGGUCGUACUCAUAACCGCAUCAGGUCUCCAAGGUGAGCAGCCUCUAGUCGAUAGAGCAAUGUAGGUAAGGGAAGUCGGCAAAAUGGUUCCGCAACUUCGGGAGAAGGAAUGGCUCUGAAGGCUGGGUGCGGGGGUCCUCCGCUUGAGGCCGGCUGGCUGCGCUGGGACUACGGCCUUUGCGCCGCGGACCCGGCGCGGCCGUCCGGCGGACGGCGGAGGAGCGCUCCGGCAUUCCCCGCACGCUGAACAGCCGCUUCAGAACUGGCGCGGACAAGGGGAAUCCGACUGUUUAAUUAAA
rnacentral:rRNA from 1 species